GGGGCAAUGACUCAGUGGUAGAGCAUCAACUCGGAAUGGUGAAGGCCCAGGUUCAAUUCUUGGUAACUCUG
rnacentral:tRNA from 1 species